rnacentral:rRNA from 1 species
GAUGAACGCUAGCGGCAGGCCUAACACAUGCAAGUCGAGGGGCAGCACGUCUUCGGAUGGUGGCGACCGGCGCACGGGUGCGUAACGCGUAUGCAACCUACCUCUUACAGUGGGAUAGCCCAGAGAAAUUUGGAUUAAUACCGCAUAGUAUGCGACAUCAGCAUUGAUGACGUAUUAAACAUUCAUGGGUAAGAGAUGGGCAUGCGUUCUAUUAGUUAGUUGGAGUGGUAACGGCACCCCAAGACAGCGAUAGAUAGGGGCCCGUGAGGGGGGAGUACCCCGACCACUGGUACGUGAGACACGGACCGA